AGUGCCAGGAAAACGAGUAUGUUUUCCUGGUACUAUAGUGGUCCUUUAAGCGCACCCUCAGGACACUAUAGUGUCAGGAAAACAAGUAUGUUUUCCUGGCACUAUAGUGG